rnacentral:rRNA from 1 species
UACGUAGGGGGCAAGCGUUGUCCGGAAUUAUUGGGCGUAAAGCGCGCGCAGGCGGUCCUUUAAGUCUGAUGUGAAAGCCCACGGCUCAACCGUGGAGGGUCAUUGGAAACUGGGGGACUUGAGUGCAGGAGAGAAGAGUGGAAUUCCACGUGUAGCGGUGAAAUGCGUAGAGAUGUGGAGGAACACCAGUGGCGAAGGCGGGUUGCUGGGCCGACACUGACGCUGAGGCGCGAAAGCUAGGGGAGCAAACGGG